rnacentral:rRNA from 1 species
AAUAUUGGACAAUGGGGGCAACCCUGAUCCAGCCAUGCCGCGUGUGUGAAGAAGGUCUUCGGAUUGUAAAGCACUUUAAGUUGGGAGGAAGGGCUUUAGGUUUAUACCCUGAAGAUUUGCCGUUACCAUCCGUAUAAGCACCGGCUAUCUCUGUGCCAGCAGCCGCGUUAAGCCAGAUGGUGCAAGCGUUAAUCGGCAUUACUGGGCGUAAAGCGGGGGUAGGUGGGUCAGUAAGAUGGGUGAGAAAUCCCCGGGAUUAACCUGGGAACUGCUUUCAUAACUACUGGGCUAGAGUACGGUAGAGGGUAGUGGAAUUUCCUGUGUAGCGGUGGAAUGCGUAGAUAUAGGAAGGAACACCAGUGACGAAGGCGACUACCUGGACUGAUACUGACACUGAGGUGCGAAAGCGUGGGGAGCAAAC